rnacentral:rRNA from 1 species
AAUCAACGCUGGCGGCGCGCCUAACACAUGCAAGUCGAACGAGAAAGCAGGAGCAAUCUUGUGAGUAAAGUGGCGUACGGGUGAGUAACACGUGGAUCAUCUACCCUUUUGUGGGGAUAACUCUGGGAAACCGGAGCUAAUACCGCAUAAGCUCGAGAGAGGAAAGCAGCAAUGCGCAGGAGGAGGAGUCCGCGGCCGAUUAGCUAGUUGGUAGGGUAAAAGCCACCAAGGCAACGAUCGGUAGCCGGCCUGAGAGGGCACACGGCCACACUGGCACUGAAACACGGGCCAGACUCCUACGGGAGGCAGCAGUGGGGAAUCUUGCACAAUGGGGGCAACCCCUGAUGCAGCGACGCCGCGUGAGCGAUGAAGCCCCUUCGGGGG